UUCCGGUUGAUCCUGCCGGAGGCUACCGCUAUUGGAGUUCGAUUAAGCCAUGCGAGUCCAGAGCUUUCGGAGCUCGGCGUACCGCUCAGUAACACGUGGGUAACCUAACCUAUGCAGGGGAAUAACCUCGGGAAACUGAGAAUAAUGCCCCAUAGUCACUACGCCUGGAACGGUGAGUGGAUCAAAGCUCCGGCGGCAUAGGAUGGGCCUGCGGCGUAUCAGGUUGUAGGGGGUGUAACGUACCCUCUAGCCCUCUACGCGUACGGGUGUUGGGAGACAUAGCCCGGAGAUGGAUUCUGAGACACGAAUCCAGACCCUACGGGGUGCAGCAGGCGCGAAAACUUGGCAAUGCGAGAAAUCGUGACCAGGGAACUCCAAGUGCAUGGGGUAAGACCCAUGCUUUUCUUGACUCUAAAUAGGUCUUGGAAUAAGGGGUGGGUAAGGACGGUGCCAGCCGCCGCGGUAAUACCGGCGCCUCAAGUGGUAGUCGCUUUUAUUGGGCCUAAAACGUCCGUAGCCGGUCUGAUACAUUCGUGGGUAAAUCAACCAGCUUAACUGGUUGAAUUCUGCGAGGACGGUCAGACUUGGGACCGGGAGAGGUGUGGGGUACGCUCAGGGUAGGGGUAAAAUCCUGUCAUCCUGAGCGGACCACCUGUUGCGAAGGCGCCACACUAGAACGGAUCCGACGGUCAGGGACGAAGCCUAGGGGCACGAACCGGAUUAGAUACCCGGGUAGUCCUAGGUGUAAACGCUGUGGACUUGAUGUUGGGGGUGCUCCGAGCACUCUCAGUGUCGAAGCGAAGGUGAUAAGUCCACUGCCUGGGAAGUACGGUCGCAAGGCUGAAACUUAAAGGAAUUGGCGGGGGAGCACCGCAACCUGAGGAUUGUGCGGUUUAAUUGGAGUCAACGCCGGA
rnacentral:rRNA from 1 species